rnacentral:pre_miRNA from 1 species
UUAAUACUCCCUCCUUUCAGAAUUAUUUGUCUUAAAAAUGGAUGAAUCUAGAUUUAUUUUAGUUAUAGAUACAUUCAAUAUAUUCAUUUUUAGGACAAGUAUUUCCAGACGGAGGGAGUAGUUU